UACGUAGGGUGCAAGCGUUGUCCGGAAUUAUUGGGCGUAAAGAGCUCGUAGGCGGUUUGUCGCGUCUGCUGUGAAAACUGGGGGCUCAACCCCCAGCCUGCAGUGGGUACGGGCAGACUAGAGUGCGGUAGGGGAGAUUGGAAUUCCUGGUGUAGCGGUGGAAUGCGCAGAUAUCAGGAGGAACACCGAUGGCGAAGGCAGAUCUCUGGGCCGUAACUGACGCUGAGGAGCGAAAGCAUGGGGAACGAACAGG
rnacentral:rRNA from 1 species